rnacentral:rRNA from 1 species
UACGUAGGGGGCAAGCGUUGUCCGGAUUUAUUGGGCGUAAAGCGCGUGUAGGCGGCCAGGUAGGUCCGCUGUGAAAACCCGAGGCUCAACCUCGGGACGUCGGCGGAAACCAUCUGGCUAGAGUCCGGAAGAGGAGAGUGGAAUUCCCGGUGUAGCGGUGAAAUGCGCAGAUAUCAGGAAGAACACCCGUGGCGAAGGCGGUUCUCUGGGACGGUACUGACGCUGAGACGCGAAAGCGUGGGGAGCGAACAGG